UAACCUGCCCAAGAGAUCGGGAUAACACCUGGAAACAGAUGCUAAUACCGGAUAACAACAGAUGAUGCCUAUCAACUGUUUAAAAGAUGGUUCUGCUAUCACUCUUGGAUGGACCUGCGGUGCAUUAGCUAGUUGGUAGGGUAACGGCCUACCAAGGCGAUGAUGCAUAGCCGAGUUGAGAGACUGAUCGGCCACAUUGGGACUGAGACACGGCCCAAACUCCUACGGGAGGCAGCAGCU
rnacentral:rRNA from 1 species